AUUUAAUAAGGCGUUUAUUGUUUAGCACCGGCUCCGUGUUCCGUGUGCUUGGUUGCGUUUUCGUGAUUUCCUCACACACUUGCAAGAGGUUUAUUUACAUUUCUUACCAACGUAUUUCAUGACCAACAAAUGAACGACUUUUGUGAGGGCUUUGGAGAAUUCCAGCCCCGCCCCCUUUCCUCACACCGAAAAAAUAUCAUUUGCACUCUUGAUUGAUUGAUUGAUACAAACAAACUAAUAAGUGAGUAAACAUCCAUAAACCAGUCAUAAUAAUCCCGGUGAAGGAGGCGUGGCCUGUGUGCUUUCAGUCCCAGUGGAGGAGGUGUGGCCUCUGCGUUUCAGUCCCAGUGGCGGAGGUGUGGCCUUUGCACUUCAGGUACAGUAGCGGAGGUGUGGCCUCUGCGCUUCGGUCCCAGUGGCAUAGGUGUGGCCUCUGCGCUUCAGGUACAGUGGCGGAGGUGUGGCCUCUGCGCUUCAGUCCCAGUGAAGGAGGUGUGGCCUCUGCGCUUCGGUCCCAGUAGCGGAGGUGUGGCCUCUGCGCUUCAGUCCCAGUGAAGGAGGUGUGGCCUCUGCGUUUCGGUCCCAGUGAAGGAGGUGUGGCCUCUGCGCUUCAGUCCCAGUGAAGGAGGUGUGGCCUCUGCACUUCAGUCCCAGUGAAGGAGGUGUGGCCUCUGCGCUUCAGUCCCAGUGACGGAGGUGUGGCCUCCAGCACUGAAUUAUUUUGUAUUACAUCGAGCCAGCGGUGUUUCAUAUUGAAUCAUUGGCUCUGUAAACGUAUCUUUCCUGCUUCCACGAUCACGCAUCAAGAGGCACGUUGUAAGAACUCUGAUUAAGAGCGCGUACGAUCUGGAGUCGUAAAUGAAACCAUAAACAAAACCCCCUCAUCAUCGUCCACGCACUUCUUCCCAAGUAGUGCUCCCCAUCG
ensembl:lncRNA